GGCAGCCUGGCCGAGCGGUCUAAGGCGCCAGACUCAAGGAAAUCUCCUUACCUGUUCACAGGUAGCAUUCUGGUCUCGAAAGAGGCGUGAGUUCGAAUCUCACGGCUGUCA